CACGCCGUAAACGUUGAGAACUAAGUGUUGGGGAGACCCAGUGCUGAAGCUAACGCAUUAAGUUCUCCGCCUGAGGAGUACGCACGCAAGUGUAAAACUUAAAGGAAUUGACGGGGGCCCGCACAAGCAGUGGAGCAUGUGGUUUAAUUCGGGGCUACGCGAAGAACCUUACCAGGGCUUGACAGGAAACUUAAGAACCUAGAGAUAGGGGGAUAAGAAGUGAAACAGGUGG
rnacentral:rRNA from 1 species